CAGAGUCGUAAAAAACUCCCAAACCCAUGUGAACUUACCUUUGUUGCCUCGGCAGAACCUACCCGGUAGCUACCCUGUAGCUACCCUGUAGCCUGCCGGUGGACCAAUUAACUCUUGUUAUUUUAUAGAAAUCUGAGCGUCUUAUUAAAUAAGUCA
rnacentral:misc_RNA from 1 species